rnacentral:rRNA from 1 species
ACGCGGAGCUAAUACCGCAUAUGUUCGCUCAUUCGGUUGGGCGAGUAAAGCAGCGAUGCGCUUAGGGAUGGGCCUGCGGCGGAUUAGGUAGUUGGUGGGGUAACGGCCUACCAAGCCGAUGAUCCGUAGGGGGCGUGAGAGCGUGGCCCCCCACACUGGCACUGAGACACGGGCCAGACUCCUACGGGAGGCAGCAGUGAGGAAUAUUGCACAAUGGGCGCAAGCCUGAUGCAGCAACGCCGCGUGAGGGACGAAGGCCUUCGGGUUGUAAACCUCUUUUCUGAGGGACGAGGAAGGACGGUACCUCAGGAAUAAGUCUCGGCUAACUACGUGCCAGCAGCCGCGGUAAAACGUAGGAGGCGAGCGUUAUCCGGAUUUACUGGGCGUAAAGCGCACGCAGGCGGCUCCGUGAGUCGGACGUGAAAGCUCUCGGCUUAACCGGGAGAGGCCGUUCGAUACUGCGGGGCUUGAGGUAGGGAGAGGAAUGCGGAAUUCCCGGUGUAGUGGUGGAAUGCGUAGAUAUCGGGAGGAACACCUGUGGCGAAAGCGGCAUUCUGGCCCUCACCUGACGCUGAGGUGCGAAAGCGUGGGUAGCAAACAGGAUUAGAUACCCUGGUAGUCCACGCCGUAAACGAUGUCAACUGGGUGUCGGUAGUUUUACACUAGCGGUGCCGAAGCUAACGCG